CCCUCUUUUAAUUGUGGCGAAGCAUGUACACUAAUUUUAGUUUCCCUAACAUCUCCUUGAUCUCCAAGAUUAAUUGGCUCAGUUUAAUUUAAAUUAAGAUUUGGCUUGUCUACAAAUUGUUUCAACUCUCUACUUAUUUCUUCUAAUGCCUCUUCUUCAUCAUAUUCCACCUCUUGCUUCAUUAUAUCUUGAUCAGAUUAGAUUUUAAGAUCAGGCUAAAAAUUCUGCAUGCAUAUCAUAUCACUGGAAUCACCAUAAAGGGAACUGUAUAAAAAAGACAACAAAAUAUAUUAGACGGAAAAACAAAAAGGACAUUGCAUUUUAUUAAAAGGGAAAUAUAGGAGGGUUUAGACAUAAUCGACAAUAGAACAUAAACAAGAUAAAUUUCGAAUUACAACCUGGAAAUAACUCGAAUAAACAAAAAGAAAAAUAAAACAAACUAUCAAAACUCCUUCCUGACGGUGAGAGGACUGACUUCCCAAUUGUUGAGUUGGACAUCAAGGCCAAUAAACUACAUAUUUGUAUUACUAGUGCCUUCCCCAACUUCAACCACAUCAACUUAGAUAAAUAUGUCUUGGAUAAGGUUGAUUAACACUGCACCGUCAUUAUUCAUUGAUUCUAUGAUAGGCGGAACGGAGGAUCUAACUGCAUAGACUUUGAUGAAGGACUCGUUGAGUAACGGUAAUGGCUUGGUAAAUGCCCAUGAAUAUUUCUUCCACUUUUUAGACCUCUUUCUAUUCUCAAAAGUAGGUUUGUACCCCAAACCAAAGGUACCAAAGUUUUUAUGUAGGUAUACUAGAUGAGCCCUGCCUUGUAAAAAUGUCCCUAAACCUUUUCUCGAUUCAAAACCAUGCUUUAACAUUUCAUUCAUGACUAUAACAGAUGUGAAGGGCAAUUGUGACCUUGGAAUAAUAUUUCCCUCGAGGAUAUUCUCAACAGUCACCACCUUAAAAACCUGAUAAAUUGGUGCCCUAUCUGCAUUGCCUAUCUUAAUAGAGGAAAUAGAAUAAUCUUUGUUCACAAAUAAGUCCCCUUCGACAUGAAUAAUAAUUUCAUGUCUGUCACUUUCAAAUUUGACCAUUUGGUGUAAUGUAGAUGCAACUGCCCCAAUUUUGUGAACCCAUGGUCUUCCCAAUAAAAAAUUGUAAGAGAUGUCAAUAUUCUACACUUGAAAAUUUAUUGUAAAUUCAACUGGUCCUAUAGUUAAUAUUAUCUCUAUUUCACCAAUGUAAUCUAUUUUCGCUCUAUCAAAAUCUCUGACACAUACAUUGUUGGGUUGAAUCCUCUCGGUAUUGAUGUUCAACUUUUUCAAAGUAGACAGAGGAAAAAUGUUAACCUCAGAACCUCCAUCAAUUAUGACAUGAGUGACAUAGAAAUUUUCACACUUCACAGUAAUGUAAAGGCCCCGAUAAAGCCCCGUACCAUCUUCAUGCAAUUCGUCAUCGAAAAAGCUAAUACGAUUUACCUUAAAGAUCUUCCCCACAAUUUUGUUCAACUGGUUCACCAUAAUUUCUCUAGGGACAUAAGAUUCAUUCAAUACCUUCAAUAUAACAUUACGAUGUUCGUCAAAAUGCAACAACAAAGAAAGAAGAAAGAUUUGAGCUGGAGUCUUCUUCAGCUGAUCUAUGAUUGAAUAUUCUAGCAAUUUUAUCUUCUUCAAGAAUUCUUCAGCUUGUUCUUCAGUGAUAGGAUUUUUGAGAGAAGAUUGCCCAUUCAUUAUUAGCUUAGACUUCCCUAAACCUUCUAGCACAAAACAUAUCCCUGAACGAGUCAAGCCCCUUACUUCAUCCAUGAUUUUCUUCCCCUGAUAAGUCAUGACAAUCUAUUUAUAAUUUCAGAGAACCCUUUUUGUAUCGACCAACGGGAGUUGGGUAACAGUAUUGAUGGUAAUAGGUGUUGCGAGUACUCCUUUUAUAGUCAAAUAGGCUUGCUCGGAGCUCCUACUACCGUUAACUUGGGGUUUUCCUGACUUAGACUGCCAAUUUUCUCAACUCCUUUUACAAUGAUCACGAGUUUCCUCGUAUUUUCUUGAAAUUUAUCUUCCACUAUUUUCUCUCAGAUCAAUGACAUCACCUUCAUCGAAUCCGCUGUAUUCACCGAUUUAUCCUCAUUAGUUCGUAUUCUAACAAUAGGCUUGUGGGACACCGUAGAAUCUUUACCAUUAUAUAUAAACUCCAACAUAUUUAUUUCAGCAUUAACUAGCAAUGGAUUUUGGUUGACGUUUGGAAUCUCUGGGGCCUAUUUUAUAAUCUGAUUUGUGUCGAUCAGAUUCUGGAUGACUCUCUUUAAAUACCAGCAUCUUUCUACAUUAUGCCCCGAUAUGUCAAAACAAUAUGCAUAUUUAGAGAGUAAUCAAGAUUCCUUAGAGGUGGAUUCAGAAGUUUUCCUUGAUUUGGGCUCAAGACCUUUAAAUUUCUCAGUCUCUGAAAUAAACUUAUAUAUGACUCCCCAAUAGGUGUGAACUUAUUCUUGAUUGCUUUCUCUUUCUUAAAAUUGGGCCUAGGUCAAAAAUUGGAUUUAGAAGGGUUUAUGUAAUUUUGUGAAGCUGAAGGACGAUUUUGAGGAAUUAGUGCAUGCUACUGUGGGUAAGAAGAGGUAUGGAUAUAUGGUUGUGCGCUAUAUAUUGGGUAUGGGGGUGGUGAAAUAGAAUAUAGUGGGUUUUGUGGAGGGUAGUAAUGAUGCAGGGAAUAUAUGGAGCUUGGGCUUGAGAUUGGGAAUAGGGGUGAGGCGGUCUUUUUAGAUAUACAUGUGGUCCAGCUACAACAACCGCUAUAUCCUCCUUCUUUUUUUCCCUCUAAAAGUUCCAGAACCAAUCUGAAUUUCUUGGGUAGUGGCCUUUAAUGCGGCAAAACUCAUGAUUCAUCCAAUCUUGAUACCCUCUUCUAUCAUCUCUCUUAUUUUGAGGACUUCGACAAAUAUCUUACCUAUCGUCGGAAGCAAGUGUUGGAAAUAGGUAUUAUUUUGUGCCUGAAUAAAGACCUCUACCAAUUUACUCUCUUUCAUCGGAGGUUUUACCCUAGCGGCCUGUUCACGCCACCUUAUCGCAUACUCCCUAAAGCUUUUAGUACUCUUCUUCUUCAUAUUAGUCAGGGAUUUCUUAUCAGGAAUUAGCUCUACAUUAUAUUAAAAUUGUUGCAAGAAUUCAUCGGCUAGGUCAUCCCAACUAUUCCACUUAUCGAUGUCCUAAUCCAUAAAUCACUCUGAGGCUAGACUCGAAAGGCAAAAUAAGCCAUGAGUAAUUCUUCUUUACCUCCAGCACCCCUUAAUUGGUUACAAUAACACCUCAAAUAUGCCACCGGAUCACCGUGUCCAUCAUACUUUUCAAACUUCGGCAUCUUAAAGCAAAGAGGAAGAUUAACACCUAGAAACAUGCAUAGAUCUUUAUACGAAACACUUUUAUAACCCCUAAAUCCCUGCAAAUUUCUCAUGGCCUGUUCUAGGCUCUUUAAUUUUUGUGCCAUGCCUUCUUGUUCUUCUAUUACAACAGGCUUCUCUGUAUCAAAUGGAAAUGCCGGUGGUUGAUUGUACCCAUACGGUUCAUUCAUUUUCAAAGUAGGCUCUGGGGUAUAAUACGGAUCAUUCAAACCUUCAACACUGGCUCACUAAUAGAUUGAGAGAGCAUAAUUGUUAGACGAACAACAUAAGUAGGAGAUUCAGGCGGUGGAGGAGCCAUAAACACAAGUGCCAUAGGUGGUGCUAGAUGGGCAGAUGGCCUCUGUUGAGGGACUGUCAAGGGCGCACUAGACGUGCUAGGAAAGUACUAAUAUGGCGUGAAUCUUGGUGUAUAUUGGGGCAUAUCAGUGGAACCAGAAAAUUGCACUUGAGACAACGGUGGAUAAUUGGAAGUGUUGCCGAGAUCAUUUGGGUAUGGAGGAGGAGGCAUGCCACUGGCCCAUGCUCGGUGUAUCUCUUCCAGUUGUUGUCUGAGUCUUAAUAUCUCCUCAUUAUGUUCUGAACCCCCUUCCCUAGGAUUCUGGUUUGGGCCAAUGAGCAAAUUUUCUACCUCUUUGUUGGUCAUGACAAACUUUGCUUUUGAUCUGGUGAAGUAAGGAUGACUAGACAGAGUGCUACAAAUCAACCACUUUUUAUAUGAAAGAACAUGCUCAUCAAGGAUAAAACCCAUUAGGAUUAGGUCACACAACCAAGCAUGAAAAUCACACUGUAUAUUUGUCCUAGAUUUAUGCGCAUUUCUACCUACCUUUGAGGGUAAUGAGACCAUUUUAACAUCAUCUCGAUCUUUCCGUUACACUUACUACUUCUUCCCCUCCCAUUACACCUCAUUAUUUUCUACUUUUCGCCCUCACUUUUCUCUUCUUUGCAUCAGUCUUUUUUCCUUUCCCCUCGUUUUUUCUCUCACUAUUCUUUCUUUCUCUUUUCUUCUCUCACUAUUUUCUUUCUUCUUAUCAUUUUUUAUGGCUUUUGCUUUUUUUUCAAAAUAGGAAAAUUAAGGAAAAACAAAGAAACAAAACGAUUAGAUCGAACCUAAAAAUAGGUUACCUACUUAUUAUGUUGUAUAUGAAUCAGUCUUGCGUAGUUCGGGAUUAUGCACAAAGUUUGAUGUUUUUUUAUUUUUUAUUUUUUUAAUAGGAGUUUUUAUAAAAGAAAUUUUAAAAAAAAUUGUAGAAGUUUUGUACAUUUUAUAUAACGAAAAUACCAAAAAGAUUUUUCUUUCAUACUUGUUGGUGUCAUUUUUUUUAUGUUAAGAGUCACACCCUUUUUACAAAAAAGAUAGAUUUUAUGUUCGAAAAGAAUUUUUAUUAUUAAGUGACAAAAGAUAGAACUUAUUUCGAAAAGUAUUCUUUUUCAUUUGAACUCAGAGUCAACACUUGACAUAAAUUUGAUGUGCCAAGUCACCUUUGAAAAUUUUUUUUCAAAAUGAUUUUUGACUCUAUAAAACUGAUUUGCGAACAGAGAUUUUGAUUAAGGAAUUCUGUUGACCGAAGGAAAGGUGUUAGGUACUCCUCGGUCCCGUGGUUCAACCACGAUCUCUUCGUGGAGUAUCGAUUAGUACGACACUAUGAAGUGGAUAAACCACAUAAAUACAUAAACACAGAAACAAACAACCACACACUCAAAAGUCAGAAAAAUAGUGUUCAGUCCAAUUUAAUACAUACCAAAAUAAAAAUGCUGAAAAGAAAAUCUAAACUAUUCUAACUAUCCUAAGCUACGCUUUACCCGAUGCCUCGGGCCUUGAUCGUGAACAUUCUGCGCGUACAAGCUACUUCAAAGCAUACCUCAGUGAAUAAGUACAAAUGACCUCGGGGCAUUCCUCGGCUAAAGGAAUACAUUUUUCAAUUUCUAUCGACAAAAUGAAACAAUCUCAAGCACAAAAACUCAAUCAUUCCACAAUCGUCCAUUUCUAUAAUUUGCCUACCCAAACUUAGUAUUUACCUACCCAUUUGAUGGCCUAAAACAUGAUACCAUCGAAUUUGACAAUAUUAAUGUCCAUUUCAAAUCAAACAACGAUUCAAUGAAUUAAACUAAUCAAUAUCCAUGCUUUAUCGAUUUUCCAUUCAAACCCCCCGCGAUUAACCAAUUUCAACUUAAAAUCAACCAAUCAAACCACGAUGAUUAUGAAAACUCAAACACAUUCAAACACAUCACCGAAUUAUAUCAUCAAACACAUUAAGAUAAUAAAAAGAGUGGAGUUGAGAAUUUGGACCUCAAAAAUUGGUUGCUGAUAAUAAUGAGUUUAUGAGAGUCCCGAUUUGAAAUCCUCGAACGACAAUACCUAAACAACAAACAAAAUUAACUCGACAUUGAGAAAUAGCAACCUGGAGAGAUUUAAACCCACGGAGAAGACCUUAAUAUGAACCCCAAAUCACGAAUAUUUACGCAACUUAAUCACAAAAACCUUUUGAAAUCUAAUAUCGAAGACAAACUUACGAAGACAGAUUAACCAUGAAACAGCGAUGUCCAAAUCUAAGCCAGAUAUGAACAACGACACAGUUUUUGAGUUAGUUUUAAGCUGGUGACGUCGUUUUCGUCUCGCCGGAGCUUCGGCGAGCUUAGGAGGACCGGUAAACGAGGAAGAAGCUUAGAUUCCGAUCGACAAUUAUUUUUUCUGAUGAGAAAUUGUUUUCGUCCAAAAACCUUGGUUCCUCUUUUUUUUUUUCCUUUUCUGUGCUCUCUGAUCUCAACCUCUACUAUAUUUAUCCCUUUUCUGGUGGGGUGUGCGUGUGUAGUAUUUUUUCGAUGAGUGUUGAUGAAAUUUUUGUGCGUAUGGCAGUGUGUGUUUUCAGUGAAUAUCUCCUUUUUCCAACAAUGUGCCUAUGUGUGUGAA
rnacentral:lncRNA from 1 species